rnacentral:rRNA from 1 species
UACGGAGGGUGCAAGCGUUGUCCGGAUUUAUUGGGUUUAAAGGGUGCGUAGGCGGUUUUUUAAGUCUGGGGUGAAAGCCCGUUGCUCAACAACGGAACUGCCCUGGAAACUGGAAGACUUGAGUACAGACGAGGUUGGCGGAAUGGAUGCUGUAGCGGUGAAAUGCAUAGAUAGCAUCCAGAACCCCGAUUGCGAAGGCAGCUGACUAGGCUGUAACUGACGCU